CCUACGGGAGGCAGCAGUGAGGAAUCUUCCACAAUGGGCGAAAGCCUGAUGGAGCAAUGCCGCGUGCAGGAUGACGGCCUUCGGGUUGUAAACUGCUUUUAUAUGGGAAGAUUAUGACGGUACCAUAUGAAUAAGGACCGGCUAACUACGUGCCAGCAGCCGCGGUAAUACGUAGGGUCCAAGCGUUAUCCGGAAUCACUGGGCGUAAAGCGUUUGUAGGCGGAAAUCUAAGUGAGAUGCGAAAUCUUGUGGCUCAACCAUAUAGACGGUAUCUCAUACUGGGUUUCUAGAAGAUAGCAGAGGUAAGUGGAAUUAGUAGUGUAGCGGUAAAAUGCGUAGAUAUUACUAGGAACACCAAUGGCGAAGGCAGCUUACUGGGCUAUAUUUGACGCUGAGAAACGAAAGCGUGGGGAGCGAACAGGAUUAGAUACCCUGGUAGUCCACGCCGUAAACGAUGUGUGCUAUUAGUUCGAGGUAUCGACCCCUUGGGCUGAACAGCUAACGCGUUAAGCACACCGCCUUGGGGGAGGACGAGCGCGAGACUAACUACAAGAAGUAGUAGACGNGNGAGAGCGACGACGACGACGACGGAGGAGGAG
rnacentral:rRNA from 1 species